CAACAUUUUUGAUUCAACGAGUUUCUUCUUUUCCCCCCUUCUUAUUCUUUCUUUAUCUCUUUUUCAUUAAAUUCAUUGUGCAUAUCUAUAUAGCAAAUUAUGCUUGGAGAUCAAAUGUAAAUAAAUAAUGGAGGUUCUUUGUUGAUAAGAAAAAAAAAUGAAACAUAUUAUUUACUUUGGAACUGAAUACUAUUUUAGAAAAACUGCAUAUGAUGUUUUUAGAGGAUUUCAGAAUAGACCAGAUCAUUUUUUUAAUUUAAUUUUAUGUUAUUCUUUUAUACAGAUUGAGGUUUAUAUAUAAAUUAAAUCAAAAAACCUUCUCUCUCUCUUAUCACAUCUCUAUCUUUUAGAGAGAGAAGGCGAUUUCCGGAUCUUAUCUCGGGCGACGCCGGAUCUUAUUUUCGAUCGGAUUCUGGAGCGUCUCUCGGAGUUUAAUCCCGACCAACCUCUAUUCAACCGGAUGCAUCUACUCUUGAUUGGGUAAUUUCACAUAUGUUUAUGCCGUAAUCCUUAGUGGACGGCGGAGUUCUUGCGCGAAGAUAGCUUGGAGACAUGGGUGUGCUCCUUUUGGGUGGCUGUAGAAGACUGAAGACGAGGGAGGAUGGCGACCAGAGAGAAGCUACUUUGAUUGGUACCGGCGGCUAAAGCACUUUACGGUGUCAAAGGUGCUGUGAAUUAUGACGGAGAUAGAAAAGAAGUGGAGGUGGAAUUUGUCUUCCGGCGAAAACCUCUCUUUCACGGCCGAGCGUGCCGCUUCCUUAAGGAAGAACACAUGUUAAUAUGUGUAGACACUUCCUUAAAGAAGACCACGUGUUAAUAUGUGUAGAGAUACGAAGGUUUCUCCAGCUGACGCGUGUUCAUGUAACCGCUUUCAUAUUUUAUUUCUUUUGUAUUUCUGUUGUUUGAACCUUAAAGAUUAAGUAAGUCUGUACCAUGUUAAUCUGCCUAUUUGGACUUUAUAAUAAAACUGCUU